rnacentral:rRNA from 1 species
UCGUGAGGUGACUUGUCUACUUAACUGUGAUAACGAACGAGACCUUCUUCGUUAAAUAGCCAGGCUAGCUUUGGCUGGUCGCCGGCUUCUUAGAGGGACUAUCGGCUCAAGCCGAUGGAAGUUUGAGGCAAUAACA